AAGUCGGACAAAGUCGGACAGUGGUGGUGCUAUGGAGUCGGCUCUGAAUAGAAAACCCCCCUUCCCACUCGAUCUAUAGGCUCUGUGUGAGUAUAUGUUUGUGUGUGUGUUCGCUCUUUAUCGCCUUCUCCACUGAUGUAUGCUAUGAGAUGUUUACCGAUCGACCUGGGGAACGGUCGACAAAGUUUAAUCUGUGACGUCGUCUUGUAUCGAUUAACAAGUUUCGUUGUUUAAUCGUGUCUUCUUGCUCCAAAAAAGAUUCUUCAUCUAUCCACUUAUCUUCUUCUCACUCUAUUCGCUUUGGACUCCAUUCCAUGUCGGCAUCGCCGGGAGAAUAAGGCGGACUAACGUUACCUUCGUGUAUACGCUUUUACCUCCACCACCAAUGACUCAUCUUAAUGUCUGACCCCUAUUUGCUUCGAUUUUCCGUUUGGUGUAGAGGGUUACCCAUUUGCCCGCGACCACUUCACCAUCAACCUCUCUCACAUCCAUCGUCGCCUACCUCCGGUGGGUUGAGCCGAUUUCCGCUUCAAUCUGUUGCCACCGGUUCGCCAUAAAUCAGGUUUUCAGGUGGAGGUCGUCUGACAUAGCGAUGAUAAAGUCAGGGAAGGAUAACCGAUACACCAUUAAUUCAGUUGUAACACACGUUUAUGAAUAGGUGGAUGUUAUUGGAAUCAUUGAAGCACGAUUCUUUGAUGAUCUGUCUGAAUUUUGUUCUAAAGUUGUUGUAAUGAUGGAAAAACGGUCAUAGUUGCAGGUGUUGGUGAUGAUUACUUAAGGUGGAUGUUAUUGGAAUCAAUUUUACAAUCUCUCAUGCACUCUAAUUUCAAACAACAGAAGUAUAUCUUCCAAAUGGAUAGUCUCAACAAGGUUAUUGCUUUUCUGUGAGAAACAUGUCUGUAACACAUUCAACGAAAUGCCUGACUUAAUUAAGGGUGACUAUUAUCCUCCAAGAUUUAUGCUGCUAAAAAUCCACAUGGUGCAGAGUCUUUACCUCCAGGAAUUGUAGUCCCACAAACUGAUUUAUAUUUGACAAGAUUAUGGGGUGAUCCAUUCCUUGUGAGAAUCCUCAAAAUGAUCUUCAAGCAAUGGAUAGAUCGAUGUAAUACAAUUUGGCAAAGAAAGCAUGUUCAUGUCUAGAAGCUUGCAACUGCACAAUCCGUUGAGAGUCGAAUUUUUAAUAGAGCUUUCAAUAAGUUGGGUCUGGAGCAUAUGGUGAUUGCAAAAGGUCAGUUUCAACAAGAGAGCAUGUUAGCGCUAUUGAGACAUGAUGAUGAUACAGAAGACAAAAGGAAACGAACAAAUAUAAGCGAGGAGGUUCUUGAAAUGGUGUUGGAUAGAAAUGAUCUACAUGCAAAAGCAGGAUCAGAUGAGAACUCCCCUUUCUCAGGCAUUCCAGAAUGUUUCCUUAUUGAAGCUUUUAGCUAUGAAAAGAUCUACUCCAAACUUCUUCUUUUUAAAGCAACCCACCAUUGUUGAUUCCUCGCAUCAGUUCAUUAACCAAAUGUUGCUAUAAAUUAAAUUGUACAAAUCUAACUUAUAUAUAUAUAUUUGAUUUAUGUAGAUUCCACCAAUCAAGAAGCAUUUAAUGGAGCAACUGCUAAUGAGGUCAUAGACAUUCCAAAUGAACCCUCUUUAUAUUUUCUUUGGUUGUGUGACUUAUAUGAAAAAACGAUUUGCUAUUUGAAAAGUUUGAAUAUUGUCUCAGUGGAAGUAAACAUUGGGUAGCAAGUGGUGCUCACAGGUAGUUCUGAACCCAACUCAACCAAGUAUCCCACAUGGGGUAUGCAACGCAUUUACCUGUGUUUAUAGUCAAUAAUCCAAAACGUAACCCACAUUUCCAAAACUGAACCAAAACUUUUGUAUUUCCUAAAUAUUUUUGUUAUUGUCAACUUUAUUUUCCAAUUUAAAGUUUGGUGUGAUGAAUCGAGUAAGGAAUGUAAUUAAAAAAAUCACUACA